rnacentral:rRNA from 1 species
CACCCAAACAAUCUGUAAAGAUUGCCUACGGGAAGACGCCUAAAGCCGAAAGCUUGCGAACCCGCAAUUACCUGAUCACAUACCCAUUCGAGGAAGCGAGUAACAGCGAUUCCUCACCCGAAUUGCUUGACGACUAUAGAGCUCUGGAACCACCUGAUCCCAUUCCGAACUCAGAAGUGAAACAAAGCAUCGCCGAUGGUAGUGUGGGGCCUCCCCAUGUGAGAGUAGGUCAUCGUCAAGC